CGGACGGGUGAGUAACGCGUGAGAAUCUACCUUCAGGUUGGGGACAACCACUGGAAACGGUGGCUAAUACCGAAUGUGCCGAGAGGUGAAAGGCUUGCUGCCUGAAGAAGAGCUUGCGUCUGAUUAGCUAGUUGGUAGUGUAAGAGACUACCAAGGCGACGAUCAGUAGCUGGUCUGAGAGGAUGAUCAGCCACACUGGGACUGAGACACGGCCCAGACUCCUACGGGAGGCAGCAGUGGGGAAUUUUCCGCAAUGGGCGAAAGCCUGACGGAGCAAUACCGCGUGAGGGAGGAAGGCUCUUGGGUUGUAAACCUCUUUUCUCAGGGAAGAACAGAAUGACGGUACCUGAGGAAUAAGCAUCGGCUAACUCCGUGCCAGCAGCCGCGGUAAUACGGAGGAUGCAAGCGUUAUCCGGAAUGAUUGGGCGUAAAGGGUCCGCAGGUGGCAUUGUAAGUCUGCUGUUAAAGAGUUUGGCUCAACCAAAUAAGAGCAGUGGAAACUACAAAGCUAGAGUGUGGUCGGGGCAGAGGGAAUUCCUGGUGUAGCGGUGAAAUGCGUAGAUAUCAGGAAGAACACCAGUGGCGAAGGCGCUCUGCUAGGCCGAGAC
rnacentral:rRNA from 1 species